GGCUAGGAGAAGAGUUUUGCUUAACCUCGAUAAUGACGUCUAUUCAUGUAUCCAUGGACCUAUGUGACAAAGGAGAUGUUUUAAAAAGACUGUCAAGAAACCUUGACUCUAGGACUUUCUCUACCAGUAUCUGGCAUUAAAUUUUUUUUAAGAAGAAACCUUGGAAAAAUGGUUGUGCUGAAAGGAAGGAAGGAAGGAGAAAAGAAAAGAAAAGGAAGAAGGAAGGAAGGAGAGAGAAAGAAAGAAGAAAGAAAAAG
rnacentral:lncRNA from 10 species